UAGUCCACGCUGUAAACGAUGUCUACUAGCUGUCUGAGACUAUAUGUAUUGGGUAGCGCAGCUAACGCGCCAAGUAGACCGCCUGGGGAGUACGGCCGCAAGGCUAAAACUCAAAUGAAUUGACGGGGGCCCGCACAAGCGGUGGAGCAUGUGGUUUAAUUCGAUGCAACGCGAAGAACCUUACCAUCCCUUGACAUCCCGAGAAGGACAAAGAGAUUUGUUUGUGCCUUCGGGAACUCGGAGACAGGUGCUGCAUGGCUGUCGUCAGCUCGUGUCGUGAGAUGUUGGGUUAAGUCCCGCAACGAGCGCAACCCUUGUCCUUAGUUGCCAGCCUUAAGUUGGGCACUCUAAGGNGACUGCCGGUGAUAAACCGGGAGGGAAGGUGGGGACGACGUCAAGUCAUCAUGGGCCCUUACGGGGAU
rnacentral:rRNA from 1 species